rnacentral:rRNA from 1 species
GACGUAGGAGGCGAGCGUUGUCCGGAUUCAUUGGGCGUAAAGAGCACGCAGGCGGUUUGGCAAGUCGGAUGUGAAAACCCGGAGCUCAACUCCGGGCGUGCAUCCGAUACUGCCCGACUAGAGGUAGGUAGGGGAGAUCGGAAUUCCUGGUGUAGCGGUGAAAUGCGCAGAUAUCAGGAGGAACACCGGUGGCGAAGGCGGAUCUCUGGGCCUUACCUGACGCUGAGGCGCGAAAGCUAGGGGAGCAAACAGG